rnacentral:sRNA from 1 species
AACACCACAGCCAAAGGAAGAAGACGAAGAUGAAGA